rnacentral:rRNA from 1 species
CGGGUGAGUAAUGUCUGGGAAACUGCCUGAUGGAGGGGGAUAACUACUGGAAACGGUAGCUAAUACCGCAUAACGUCGCAAGACCAAAGUGGGGGACCUUCGGGCCUCAUGCCAUCAGAUGUGCCCAGAUGGGAUUAGCUAGUAGGUGGGGUAACGGCUCACCUAGGCGACGAUCCCUAGCUGGUCUGAGAGGAUGACCAGCCACACUGGAACUGAGACACGGUCCAGACUCCUACGGGAGGCAGCAGUGGGGAAUAUUGCACAAUGGGCGCAAGCCUGAUGCAGCCAUGCCGCGUGUGUGAAGAAGGCCUUCGGGUUGUAAAGCACUUUCAGCGGGGAGGAAGGCG